AGGGUGGCCCCUCUCUACUCCUGACGUCAGGGCCAUCUGAAAGGAGGACAUAGCUAUCAGCUGGGAAGACAGAAAUGGGCAAGGACUGCCUCAUGGCUGGAAACAAUCGUGAGAAGGGCACAAGCAGCAGGAAAGCUGGGUUUUAUAGCCAGGCCUACCAAGCAUGUUGUUCUUCUCCGAGAAGACCAGAAAAGCUCUGCCCAGACAUCUGAGACUGCAAUUUCCAGCCAUCUCUUUCCUGGCUACCAUAUAUCCACCUGGAACCAAUGGGAUAAACAACUGUACAGAGACUUUUUGUUUUUGAUUUUAGUGUUGUUCUAAGAAGUUACCAAAAUACACCAUGAAAUUAUCUCAAUUAAGUUUACCCAAAA